CUAACACAACCUUUAUUUCCGGAAAGUAUGUACCGACUAUUUGUUUGACAACUGCCUCGUCUUAUAUUUAUUGGCUGAAGUAAGAACAAAUAUGUCAGCGGCGAAGGCAUCUCUGCCACUGUACAUCGUGGAUGCAUUCACAGAUACGCCUUUCCAUGGCAAUCCCGCAGCUAUAUGUCUAUUGAAACAGACAUUGUCCGAGGACGAUAUGCAGAAGAUAGCUGCAGAGAUGAAUCUAUCAGAAACAGCUUACAUACAAGGAAUAAACAGUAACAACUGUGACUUUACAAAAGAUGACAGGUUUAACUUAAGAUGGUUCACACCGACCAAUGAGGUUCCUCUAUGUGGUCAUGCUACCAUGGCAUCUGCUGCUGUCAUCUUUUUUGUCUGUGACAACCCAUCGCCAUGUGUAACGUUCCAGACACUAAGUGGAGACUUGAUAGUCCAGAGACAGGGACAGGGGAUCACAAUGAACUUCCCUCUCAACACUCCACAACCAGAGAAUUUCGAAAAUGUUGAAAAUCUAUUAAAUUUAGUUACCAAGAAGGAAAUGAUUGACAGCAUUCAUUAUUCCAGCAACACAAAGAAGCUGUUAGUAAGACUUACAGACACCUGUUCAAGGGCUGACUUGGAGAACCUUCAACCUGAAAUUACAAACUUCCAAAAGGUGGAGUCUUCUGGACGAAUCAUGGGUGUGAUAGUGACGGUAAGAGGAGAGAAGGGGGAUGGAAAACAGAAGACAUAUGAUUUUCUGUCCAGAUACUUUGCUCCAUGGAACGGCAUACCGGAAGAUCCUGUCACAGGAUCAGCUCACACAGUGCUUGCCGGCUAUUGGUCGCAGGUUCUAGAGAAGACCACAAUGCAAGGAAACGUAAGACUGCGUUGACAUGCUUGAUCCCGGUCUUUGGUGGACACGACUGGAUAAGCAGCAAUUUUGAGAGGAUGUUUCAGAUAGAGUACAAGUCAAUAGUAGCAUACCCUGGAUCGUCGGCAAGCAGCUGCUAUUAUGAGGAUGUCCCUAAAGGGUAACCAGUAGCCUCUACCCCACUGUGUUUUAUACAUUGGUAUGGAACUGUUGGUAGAGUCGCCUUCUGGAGGGAGAUUCCAAAAGGAUUAUCAUUGCCUUUACCCCUUGGGUCUUCCGCGGCACAUUAGUUCCUAACUGUUAAGCGAGUCGCCUUCUUUUUUAAUAUCUCGACAGGUUCUGAUAGAUUAUUGUUUUGUUUUAAUUCGUCUUUUAUUAAUUGUUUGUUUGUUUUUUUACUAUAUUCCACUAUCAACCAUUGUAAUAUUCCUCAAUAUUUGUAUCGAUCCAAAUUUUCUGUGUUUAUAUCCACUUUCAUAGCAUAGACUAGUUCGUAAGAAUACCAUUCAAACUACACCGUUUACCGCUCUUGUCUUCCGUAUGAUUGCAUCAAUGCACUCCGGAUUUCAGGAUAUCGGUGAUACAUUCGGAUAGGAUAUUCUACAUUGGACCCAUGCCUGCAACUACAAUUGCCUUUCCGGAUGUUAGUAGAACGAUUAAAGGCUGCUGUCGCGAGGCAUGUAGCUGAAGUGGUCGGCCUGUUGUGUUAGCGGUUCCCUAAGGAUUUAGUACGCUUUGCGACAAACUGCUCGACAGCGAAGGCUGUCAACCAGUUGCCCAUCCCUACCACGGAGUCAGAUACAAUUGAUCACACAGAGACAAAAUACCAAUAGGUGGCGCUAAACAACAAAAUACCAAAAGGUAAAAACCAUUAGGUGAUGCUACACAACAAAAUACCAGUAGGUGGCGCUACAUAGCAAAAACCAAAAGGUAGCGCUACACAUUCUUUUUCAAAUAUGUUGAGUAAUAUUGUAUUUUGAAGUUGUAUGUGAUUUAUAAACUGAAUAGUAAAGAUCGAUUUAUGCUCGCUGAUUAGAACCAACGCUUCCCGAAUUUCAAUGAAAUAACCCAGAGUCGUCAACAUACCGUAUUGGUAAGUAGCUGAUACUGUAAUCAGUCUGGUGAGAAACACACAUGGUGAACUAUGGAGUUUUAAAUGGGUAAUUCUAUGCUAUUUGGGAGGUUGGACUUACCUGAGUUGUGUUAGACAGGGCACUGUAUCGCCUUAGACAUUAAUAAAUAAUGAUAAACAUUGA